AACGAACGCUGGCGGCAUGCCUAACACAUGCAAGUCGAACGAGACCUUCGAGUCUAGUGGCGCACGGGUGCGUAACGCGUGGGAACCUGCCCUUAGGUUCGGAAUAACUCCCCGAAAGGGGUGCUAAUACCGGAUAAUGUCUUCGGACCAAAGAUUUAUCGCCUUUGGAUGGGCCCGCGUUGGAUUAGCUAGUUGGUAGGGUAAAAGCCUACCAAGGCGACGAUCCAUAGCUGGUCUGAGAGGAUGAUCAGCCACACUGGGACUGAGACACGGCCCAGACUCCUACGGGAGGCAGCAGUGGGGAAUAUUGGACAAUGGGCGAAAGCCUGAUCCAGCAAUGCCGCGUGAGUGAUGAAGGCCUUAGGGUUGUAAAGCUCUUUUACCCGGGAUGAUAAUGACAGUACCGGGAGAUUAAGCUCCGGCUAACUCCGUG
rnacentral:rRNA from 1 species